CUUUUAACUACAGACAAAACUACAACAUCCAAGCCUGGACUAAUUGAUGCCAUUGACUUUAUCUAAAACCAAGGUUGUGGUAAAACAAUUUAGAGCAAAGUUCUUUUCAAUGGUUUCUCAUAGCUACUCUGCCUUUUUAAUUUGAUCAUCUUCCACUUGAUCUUCUUUGUGUCACGAAUCUUCGAUUGAUUUUCUACAUAAACCUUAUCAGGCGAGUUUAAGUCAUCUUGUGCUCAUUCGUUCACCUCAGCAUUCCCAUCACUUGAGUUAUGUUUUACUUUUGUUAAUGCUCAAUGCUCUACAUUUACUAACAUAGACAAUUUCUGCUUUCAUAGUUUUUCGACAUUGAUUGUUAAAAUAUAGAAACGAGAGACAUAAUGCUGAAACCGUUAUUGUUUAGUAAUAUGAUCAAUUUAGUAUCAUGCCCAAGUUAUGCAAUAGUGUCAUUAUAAUCUUUGUCAUAGAUUUGUGUGCAUCGAGCUUUAUAGCAAAUCAUUUUACCGUAAGUUGUUGUUUUAAGAGUCUAUAACUACUAAUACCUUACAAUUGAGCGCCAAUUGGAAGACGAAUUAACUCUCAGACCACUACUUUGAAGGCCACAUAUUUCAUCGAUCAUAGCUUGUCACCACUCUAGGUGGGUUUAAACUACACUUGGAGACUUAUGAAUAGGAACAAAAGAUAACAAGGACAAACAAGUAUGAUGUAUGGUGGAAAGUUGAUGAUAACUAAGCUUAGUAUACUGGAGAGAAGGAUUACGGUACAAGUAGAUUAUUUACUUUUUCAAAUAGCAGUUGCCUUCAUUUUUAGAGGAGACUAGAUCCAAUAUGUUAGAUAGUGUUGAGAUAGGAUCAAACAUGACCUCUAUAUCAUUAUCCAUCGAAGAUAGGUCGGUCCCAUACACAUGAAGAGCGGUCAAAAGAGCAUCUCGAGUUGUGACAAAGUCAUGUGGUAGUGAUGAAGGAAGAUUGGUAGUGUGAGAAAGUAAGUACAUGUCAUCAUUAUAUGUGUAUUACAUAACAGACUCAAAGAAAGAGAAGCCGAUAGACACAAAAUAUCGGUCAAGAUAAGGAGAGAAACAUCAAUACCUUUUUGAGAGAAACAUCAAUACCUUCUUUUGAGAACGAUGAUGUCCCAUGAAGGCAAAUUUGAACAACCAAUUAGGAAGUUUGUCUUGACUAGGUGUGAGGUUAUGUACAAAACAUGUGGUACCAAAACAAGUGGAGGAAGACAAUAUAGACGGGAAUGAGGAAAAGGAUAGAGUGAGAUACUUGAUCAUUAAGGAAAGAUGAUGACAUUCAGUUAAUGAGAUAGUACAUAGUAAUGACAACAUCCCACCAUAAACAGUGAGGAAGAUGACUAUGAAGAAGUGUUCAUGUAAUUUCAAUCAGAUGUCUGUUUUUGUGUUCAACUACUCCAUUUUGUUGAAGAGUAUGAGGACACAAA